GAGGAAUCCCAGAGGAAGUCACGGCUAACUUCGUGCCAGCAGCCGCGGUAAGACGAAGGUGGCAAGCGUUGUUCGGAAUCACUGGGCUUAAAGAGCACGUAGGCGGACUGUCAAGCGUCUUGUGAAAGCCCUCGGCUUAACCGGGGAAUUGCUUGGCGAACUGGCAGUCUUGAGGCAGGUAGGGGCAACUGGAACUCUUGGUGGAGCGGUGGAAUGCGUAGAUAUCAAGAGGAACGCCAGAGGCGAAGGCGAGUUGCUGGGCCUGUCCUGACGCUGAGGUGCGAAAGCCAGGGGAGCGAACGGGAUUAGAUACCCCGGUAGUCCUGGCCCUAAACGAUGUCUACUAGGUCGAGGAUUCUCUGACGGAUUCUUGGCCGAAAUGAAAACGAUAAGUAGACCGCCUGGGGAGUACGGUCGCAAGGCUAAAACUCAAAGGAAUUGACGGGGGCUCACACAAGCGGUGGAGCAUGUUGCUUAAUUCGAUGCAACGCGAAGAACCUUAUCCUGGGCUUGACAUGAUUGGAUGCCCUCUGGGAAACCAGAGUAAGCUGCCCUUCGGGGUGAAACUUUCACAGGUGCUGCAUGGCUGUCGUCAGCUCGUGUCGUGAGAUGUUGGGUUAAGUCCCGUAACGAGCGAAACCCUUGUCGCUAGUUGCCGGCGCGUAAUGGCGGGGACUCUAGCGAGACUGCCGGUGUCAAACCGGAGGAAGGUGGGGAUGACGUCAAGUCCUCAUGGCCUUUAUGCCCAGGGCUGCAAACGUGCUACAAUGGCCGGUACAAAGCGAAGCAAGACCGCGAGGUGGAGCAAAUCGCAAAAAGCCGGCCUCAGUUCGGAUUGGAGUCUGCAACUCGACUCCAUGAAGUCGGAAUCGCU
rnacentral:rRNA from 1 species